GAUGAACGCUGGCGGCGUGCCUAAUACAUGCAAGUCGAGCGAACAGACGAGGAGCUUGCCUCUCUGACGUUAGCGGCGUAAGUGUUAGUAACACGUGGAUAACCUACCUAUAAGACUGGGAUAAAUUCGGGAAACCGGAGCUCAUACCGGAUAAUAUAGUGAACAGCAUGGUUCAAUAGUGAAAGCCGGUUUUGCUGUCACUGAUAGAUGGAUCCGCGCCGCAUUAGCUAGUUGGUAAGGUAAAGGCUUACCAAGGCGACGAUGCGUAGCCGGUCUGAGAGGAUGACCAGCCACACUGGGACUGAGACACGGUCCAGACUCCUACGGGAGGCAGCAGUGGGGAAUUUUCGACAAUGGGCGAAAGCCUGACGCAGCAACGCCGCGUGCGUGAUGAAGGUCUUCGGAUCGUAAACCGCUUUUGUAAGGAAAGAAAAGGUUUGGACGAAACUCUGCACGACUUGACGGUACCGAAACAGAAAGCAACGGCUAACUACGUG
rnacentral:rRNA from 1 species